rnacentral:tRNA from 1 species
GAUUAACUCAGCUGGUUCAGAGCAUUCCGAUUUUUAAUCGGAAGCGGUCGGGGGUUCGAACCCCUCAUCGCCCA